CCUACGGGUGGCAGCAGUAAGGAAUUUUCGGCAAUGGGGGGAAGCCUGACCGAGCAACGCCGCGUGAACGAAGAAGUUAUUCGUAAUGUAAAGUUCUUUUAGCCGGGAAGAAAGAGACCUUUGACGGUACCUGACGAAUAAGACCCGGCUAACUACGUGCCAGCAGCCUCGGUAAUACGUCGGGAGCGAGCGUUAUCCGGAAUUAUUGGGCGUAAAGGGUGCGUAGAUGGCAUCGUAAGUCUUUGGUAAAAAUGCUGGGCUCAACCCAGUAGGGCAAAAGAUACUGCACAGCUAGAGUAUGACAGAGGCAAGUGGAACGACAUGUGUAGCGGUGAAAUGCGUAAAUAUAUGGAAGAACACCAGUGGCGAAGGCGGCUUGCUGGGUCGAUACUGACGUUGAGGCACGAAAGCGUGGGGAGCGAACAGGAUUAGAUACCCGUGUAGUC
rnacentral:rRNA from 1 species